GAAAGCCCAGUUCGUUCUGAAUCAGAAUUCGUAACGUGGCUAACUAUAAGCGCAACGUGAUGAAGGAAAGAAUCCUGAGAUCUCUACACCGUUCAUCAACAACUUCAGAAUUCAGAGGAGUUACCUUUCUCUGAUCAGGAUCUGCUUUGAAUCGACAUGGGUUUCUUGAUAACGACGCUAAUAUUCGCAGUUAUUGGGGAUAAUCGCGUGUCUCUGCACCCGAAUUUGCUGUAACAGAGGACCUUCUGCUAAUCUAUUUCACCUGACUUUGGUUAUUACUGCAACAAUAUGCUGCUGGAUGAUGUGGGCAAUUGUUUAUAUGGCCCAAAUGAAACCGCUCAUAGUACCGAUAUUGAAUGAGGGUGAAUAAAUCUCAACUUGAACAGAUUAGUCUCCUUGUAAGUUAGAGAAUGUGGAUCACAGUUUGGCUGCUGGAGAGAAUUUGAUUUCGAUUUCGGCCCUCAUGAAUCAUUCAGUAUUUUCUAAAGGUGGAUUUGUAUGUAUUAAUUGUUGGAUAAUGGUAUUCCAUUUGGCAUUUCUAUAUUGCUGCCUGAUGUUUGUAUUACAAUGUUUGUAUUUAACAGUCAUUCAUUUCAGAUGUCGGUAGACAAUGAUAAUGGGUAUGUAUUUUGGUGACAAAUAAGUUCAUUAAAGAAAUGUUUUUCUCUAAGAAAAGGGUGAUAGAAAGAGGUCAAUUCGUGGUCCUUGUUUACAAUUCUAUGGUAUUGAACUAGGCUCUGUUUAUAAUGUGACCUAUAGGUUGUUACAUUUACACUUUUAGUCUUCGGUGCUGGUAGUUAGCACUUAUUACCUUGUAUCAUGGACCACACCUAAU